rnacentral:misc_RNA from 1 species
UCCCGGUUGGCCCUGGCAGUCUCGCAUGAAAAAUUCAACAUACGAUAAGGGUUGCGCUCGUUGCGGGACUUAACCCAACAUCUCACGACACGAGCUGACGACGGCCAUGCAGCACCUGUCACCAGGCUCCCGAAGGCACUCCACUAUUUCUAGCGGAUUCCUGGGAUGUCAAACCUCGGUAAGGUUCUCCGUGUAGCGUCGAAUUAAACCACAUGAUCCUCUGCUUGUGCGGGUCCCCGUCAAUUCCUUUGAGUUUUAAGCUUGCGCUCGUACUCCCCAGGCGGUCGACUUCACGCGUUAGCUUCGUUACUGAGAGUGUCAAACCCCCAACAACCAGUCGACAUCGUUUAGGGCGUGGACUAC